UACGUAGGGGGCAAGCGUUGUCCGGAUUUAUUGGGCGUAAAGAGCGUGUAGGCGGCUUGGUAGGUCCGCUGUGAAAACUCGAGGCUCAACCUCGAGAUGUCGGCGGAAACCACUUGGCUAGAGUCCGGAAGAGGAGAGUGGAAUUCCUGGUGUAGCGGUGAAAUGCGCAGAUAUCAGGAAGAACACCUAUGGCGAAGGCAGCUCUCUGGGACGGUACUGACGCUGAGACGCGAAGGCGUGGGGAGCGAACAGG
rnacentral:rRNA from 1 species